AGGGAAGGGAAGGGGAGGGGAGGGGCGAGAAGCGCGCGUAGGCACCCCGGAGGCAAGGCCCAUGCAGCCCGCCGCCGAGGGCGCCUCUUUGGGGCCUCUAGAGAGCAAGGAGACUGGCGCCGUGGCGCCUCCUCGCGCUGGUCCCUCUACGUCUCGGGUCCCGAAGUGGAAUCACGGAGAUGAAGCCGUGGGAGCAUCUGGAUCCGGAGCCCGAGGCCGCAGAGCACUGAAGGCUGCCAUCGCCUAGCAAGACAUGCUGGACCCUGGACGCGGCACUGGUCUGGGCCCAGAGGCCCUGGCCCCGGGAGUCUGCGUGACGCUUAGCUUGGAAGCUGCGCGCGUGAGGAAGGGAGAGCCGGCCCUCUGUCUCUCUGGGCGUAGAAGCGGCUGGUCAAAUUAGCCGAAUGCAAAAGAAAGGGUAAAACCUCCCUGAAACCGCACAAAGCAGUAAGGACUUCAGAUUCUCAAACUCCACUCACCCAAGCUUUCACGACUGUCGUACCCGAACCCCUUUCGAUGCUGUGGAAUCGUACAGCGGGAAGAGUUCUUGUAAAUGGAUUAAGCCAAUCCUUCGAUUUAACUGAGACGGCCCAGAGAACUUCACACAACCACUAUUUUGGUCCGCAAAAAUUCUGAAGUUGGCUUGAAGGAGCUCCAGGAUAGAAGGAAGACAGACAAACUAAACCUCAGUUCCUUCAAUUUGGGCUUGGAGGGUGCUGAAGAUCGAAACCAGGGCCUUGCAUAUGCUAGGCGAGCGCUCUACCGCUGAGCCACAACUCCAGGUCCUGAAUUUUUUAAUCCUAAAGUAAUUAACCUUUAUAUUAAAGUUAAAAAAUACAGAAAUGAAAAAAAAAUGUCAUGUGGUUCCACCACAUAAUGACAGCUUUUAGUAGUUUAGGGACUUUUCUUCUUGUCUUCAUUAUUUGUCAAUGCUAAUUUAAAAAGAGUUGAAAAUAAUUGGGUCUUGUGCCUCUUGAAAUUUAUUUUCCCCCAAUGAAGAAUAUAGAGAAUAAUAAUAAAAAACAUGCAUGUUUCAUUUUUUUUUGAAGGGGGAUUACAGGGGAAUUAAACCAAGGGUACAUUACUUUGAUGGUGCUACAUCUCCAGUUCUUUUUUCAAGUUUUACUUUGAGACAGGAUCUCACUAAAUUGCUGAGGUUGGUCUUGAACUUUACAUCCUCCUGCCUUAGCCUCCCAAAUUGCUGGGAUUACAUGCAUGUACCACCUUAACCAGUUUAUAUAUUUCAUUUCUAAUUUCAUCAAAAGGUGGUAAUCACCAAGAAUUUUUUAAGCUUCUUUUCCUUUUUAUGUAUGCAUUAAUACACAUAAGUAAUAUAUACAUAUAUAUAUUAAGAACUUAAAUUGACAUCAUGCUCUAAAUAUAAUUUUAUAACCUAAUUAUUUUAGGAAAAAAAUGCAAACACAAAAGAAAGUAGAAAGAAUAGUAAAUUAAUCCCUUUGAAGCUUCACUCAGCUUCAACAAUUAUUCAAACAUACCCCCAAAUUAAUUUGAAGUAAACACCAAAUCAUUUUUACCCACAGAUAUUUGUGUAUUUAUAGCUAAAAUAUAAGGGCACUUACUUCUAAAAUAUAUAUUGACAAUACCAUUAUCACAUUUAUAAUUUUUAUAAAAAUGCUUUAUGAUAAAGUAGUCAAAUUCCCCUCAAUUGUCUCAUGAAUAUUUUUAUUAUUUUAUCACAGCUGAUUUGUUCAAAUUAGGAUCUAAAUAAAGUUCACACACAUUGCAUUUUUUUAUUUUUGGUACUGAGGAUUAAACUCAGGGGCACUCAACCACUGAGCCAUAUACCCAGCCCUUUUUUGUGUUUUUUUUUAGAGAUGGUGUCUCACCGAGUUGCUUAGCACCUCGAUAAGUUGCUGAGGCUGGCUUUGAACUUAUGAUCCUCCUGUCUCAGCCUCCCAAACCACUGGGAUUACAGGGCCUUGCUAAGUUGCUGAGGUUGGCCUCAAGCUCAUGAUCUUCCUGCCUCAGCCUCCUGAGUCAGUGGGCUUACAAUUGUGCGCCACUAAACUCCCGUGGCCUUAUUUUGUUCAUAACACUUAACACUACGUGACAUUGUAUUGUAUAUCUGUUUGUAAAUGUAUUUGCCAAUGUCCUCCUCUGUAGCAACUAUGAUGAAGUCCCAGUGCGGGGCUUUGCUUUUUAUUCACUGAUGUACCCCUAAUAAGUAGAACAGGGGCUGGCACAUAGAAAACUCUCAAUAAAACAAAUGAGUGAGCUACAGUAAAUGAGAUGAAAAGAAAAAAAACAUCAUGAGAGGGUUGAGUUAAAGUCACUUAAAAUUCCUCGAACAUUCCUAUCAUUUCAGCAAAAGGGGAAAAAAAAAAACAAAAACAAAAACUGCUUAAGGCUCCCACGGUGAUCUAUCUCCUCAGGAGAAACCGAAUUUAGGGAAGUUUGCCACUGGUAAAGCAAGAACUUGAGAUACUUUCCUGGACGAUUCUGGUAAGAAUGCUGUACUCUCCUGAGUUACUUCGUUAAUAAGAGAAAUCCCCAAUUCCAGAUUUGAAGGCUUCUUUGUUCACUUCAGCUCCUCCAAGAACUUGGAAAGAAAUGCUGAAGGAUGGCUGAAGACUCCAGGCUCCCCAAGUAUUUGUCUCCUCCAGCAUCAGCAACCAGAUGAAUUUCACAGUGAGGAUGACAAUUCAGAAGCAAGAGUCACACGCCAGACGAAAAAGGGGCACCAAGGGGCAUCUCUGUUCAUCCCUCUCUACUACCCAGCAUUCGGCUGAGGCCUGCAGACAACGACGCACACUAUGGGGCGAGUGGCGUUUUCACCGUUUCCCUCCCAGGCGGCCACUCCCCGACCUCUCCCCUCCUCCCACCCGCCCCUCCCAAGC